CUGAAUAAGCACAAAUAAUUUACAGAUAUUUAUCCACCUUUGGUCUAGAAAGAGAACUCAAAAUGACAAUCAGCUGACCAGUUUUGCUUUUUUGAUUUCAACUGCCAAGAUAAUAACAUUCAGUGUUUUGAUAAAUUUUAAUUGUUAUUUAAUUUACCAGUAUUACCCACCGACAACUUAAUCGUAAACCUUUUAUGUAAACUCGACAUCAUGGAUAUGAGAAAAAUGAAAGAUGAUGAAAAACUUAAUGUUUGUAAGAGCUACUUUUAUGGCGGAUUCUUUUUCCUUCCUUUUCUAUGGCUUUUAAAUGCGUUUUGGUUUUUCAAUGAAGCAUUCCUAGUGUCUCAUGAAUAUUCCCAAAAAAAGCAAAUCAAAAAAUAUGUGAUUCUAUCUUCUAUAUGCUCCGUGGUUGAGCUUUCGUUAAUCAUUUACUGGAUAAUAUAUUUCCAGAGGAACCGGACUACAGCAAGUUGGGGAGAUUCUCUUUCUUUCUUGACCCCUAGAGGAAUAGUGUGAAUUUGUCGCUUUUUUAACUUUCAGUAACUGUCGUGAAUUUUCUAACUACGCUGAUUAAAUAUUCAAUAUAAACUCAAA